CACACACACAGAGGACAGGGAGCUCGGGCACACACACACAGAGGGCAGGGAGCUGGGGCGCUCACACACUCACACAGAGGGCAGGGAGCUGGGACACACACACACAGAGGGCAGGGAGCUGGGGCACACGCUCACACUCACACACAGAGGACAGCGAGCUGCGGGCACACACACACAUAGGUUAGCGAACUGGGGCACACGCACACACACACAGAGGUUAGCGAGCUGGGGCACACACACACACAUAGGUUAGCGAGCUGGGGCACACACACACACACAGAGGUUAGCGAGCUGGGGCACACGCACACACACACAGAGGUUAGCGAGCUGGGGCACACACACACACAGAGGACAGCGAGCUGCGGGCACACACACACACAUAGGUCAGCGAACUGGGGCACACGCACACACACACAGAGGACAGCGAGCUGCGGGCACACGCACGGGGCCCGACUGACGGCUUGGACAUCACAGGUGUCACUACAACAGCGUUACCUGGUAAUGUGUUCAUCACUUGCUCAGCGGAAGAAGAGAGGGGCGAUUUGGACAUGGAACGUCGUGGAGUGUCGCUCAUAGUCCAGGAGGAGUACUAGAAUUCAGUUUGGGGUGAUAAAGCAUCGCAUUGCGUAAUUGUCUCUUCACGCUCCACAGAGUGGGGGCCACGCAGUGGCUCGGGCAGGGGCUCGGAAACCUGCGGCUCCGGUGCCGCGUGCGGCUCUUUAAGGGCCGCUGAUUUUUCUUCUUCUUUUUCUUCGUGAGAAUUGUAUAAUAAAAUACAAUUCUCACAAUUGUGAGAAUUUGUAUUUUAUUAUGUUUUAUUUUUAUUAUUUUAUUAUUUCCCUUCUACGUGACUUUACCGAAAGAACCAAGAAGAUGAAUCCCUGCAGUCACGAAAGCUUUAAAUCGAAAUUUGACCGCUGCUUUGUGACUUCGUUUAUCGAGGACCACCGUUCCGUCUGAUUUACGCGCAUUGCGGCUAUUUAAAUAUUGAGGGUUUUUUAUUUUAUUUUAACCGAAUUCGAAAAAAUGUCUCUUCUUGUUGUGUUUGUGGCCGAUCUCUGGGCUAGGGAGUGUUAGUGUGUGUGUGUGUGUGUUCAACGUGUGUGUGUUUGUUCAACGUGUGUGUGUGUGUUCAACGUGUGUGUGUUCAACGUGUGUGUGUGUUCGUGUGCGAGAUAAAGGCGUGCAGUGCAGCGGUUACGCGCAGCGCUACGAUCCCGGCGACUCGAGUCCGAUUCUCGCUCACGGCCAACACCAGUGACGAUUAUCUGAACCGGUCCUGGGCCUCCCCUAUGUUGACUCAGCCUUGAAUGAGUACCUGGUGCGGUGUGUAAACAUCACCACUGGGGAGACAAAGGCGGUCGGGCGUGGUGCUGGCCACCCACUUCCUCUUGUACCUACCGCCCUUCAUAGGUGCUCGCCCAACAGUCUGUUAUGGCUGUGCGUUGGAUCUUUUGUCUUUGUGUGUGCGCGUGGUUAGAGAGGCAGUGAGUAAGAAAACAACAAGGCACUGAUUGAGCUUGGACUUGAACAGUGGGCGCGCGAUUCGUCAGUGCAGAGGAUCAGAAGGAGACCCAGAUCCAAGGAGCAGCAGAGGAGAAGGAGCGACCUCCCAACAGUCUGUUAAAGAUUUGAAGCUUUCGUGACUGCAAGGAUUCAUACUCUUAGGUUUUUUUCGGUAAAGUCACGUAGGUAAAAAUUUUAAAUUAAUAUUUUUAUUUAUUUAAAAAUUUUACCUACGUGACUUUACCGAAAAAACCUAAGAGUAUAGUCUGCUAAAGGCUACACGGGCGGAGAUAUUUGUCUUUUGUUGCGUGCCCGCGUGCUCCCCGGUCGUGAGACGAGAGCGAGGGGGGGUGGGUUCACUGCGAUCUUGAUUGUCUCGGUGAAAGUGGCGAAGACCAAAUGGGGCUAGGACGUGGACCGGGGCCGGGACCGGGCAGGGGUCCCUGGGGAUGGACCGAGGCGGGCGGACCGCGGCAGCCGCCUCCGUCACCCGCGAGCGGCUGGGCGAGAUCACCGGAUGACCCCGGCUGGACGCGGUCACCCCGACCUCUCAGCGCCCCGCAGAGACGCGCCGCCUGCACGAGGCAGUGUCCCCGCGGGCCGAGCUCGCCCCCGGCCAGGAGGGUGACCGCCCUGGCCCCGUGGGGACCGGGCGGCCGGAGAGGACCCCUCUGCAUGGCCGUCGCAUCCGUCAAGGAGUCGCCGCCACUCCUGCUGAGAGGCUACCUGCGGAGAACGGCCGAGCUGUGGGUGGAAGGGGUUAAUUUCUACCUGGGCGUCGACCCUCGGCAAGGUGGAAUGUGCUCACCUGUGCAGGUGCCCGGGCUGCGAUGUCGUCUGUGCUCCUGCCGCAGUUGCCAGUACGAUCCGCUCAUGGACAACGGUCUCUGUCUUGUUUGCCGCCACCCGGUCCACAUGCACACACCUGUCACGGACAGAGCCAAGGCUGGGCCGACUUCGCGCCAACCAACAGCAGCUCCUACUCCUCCUCCAACCCCCUGCCGCGGCAAGGAGCUCCGGUCUCACGGGAGGGGAGGCGUCGUCAGCUCCACGAGGAGGAAGGGGAAACUCCAAAAACGCGGAGCGGGAGCCCCGGUGCCUGCGGCCACCGGCAUCUCGGACGAGACGAGGCCAUUGGGUGCAGCUGAAUUGGGAGACUCCGGUCGCAAGCGCGACGGCGACGACGGCGGUGGUUUUGGUGGCGGUGACCGUGUCUCCGAUGCUCUUGCCGGCGCCGCUGGGACCUCGCUAUCUGGCCAGAUUGGUGACGGACGAGGCGGUGAUGGCGGCGAUGACGGUCCGGAGUCUGGGAGAUCGCUGUCGGCACGGCGAACGCGGAGAGGCCAUCGUCAGGGCGCGGCGGCAAUGGCCGGUGACUCCUCGUCAGAGACGGAUGCUGCAAGCAUGGGCAGUGGGUGCAGGGAGACCUUUCCGGUAGUCUCCAUGACCGGCGGCGAGACGGGGAGGCAGGAUGUGCGGCGUCCAGGACUCAGGUUGCCCCCGGUCACCGUCACGCGGCCCCCCCCAGUGAAGCCGCCCCCCAUUACGGGGGCUCACGGAGCGGUACAACUUGAAGCAGAGCCGCGAGACCGCAAGCAAGAGGAACGUGAGCCGAGAGAGAGCCGCGGAGGAAGCCGCCGUCUCCCUGGGGCAGAGAAGAGUCUCGGUUCAGUUCGGAGAGAGGGAGUUUGUCGGAUACUUUCUCCCGCACGACACCCUGCAGGCCGUGUACGAGUGGCUGGAAGUGGCGGUGGUGGCGGCGGCGGUAGGCGGCACGGAGGAGCUGCCCCACCGCUUCUCGCUGGGGCACGCAGGGCGGCUCUUCCCGCUGAGGCCCGACACGCGCGACACGCCUUCUCACGCACGUGCCGCUCCGUCUCAGCGUGCACGUGGACACGGACGGGAGCGUCUCUCCGGGCCUCGGCAGGGAACCGCUCCUCCUGUCCCCACGUCAAGCACGCUUUGAGCUUCCUGUCGACCUCCGGGAACUGGAAGGGAUGUCGGCGCGUGCCUACGCCCGCCGGCGCUGCCGCUGCGCCCCGGAGUGGACGGAGCUGUUCGUCGCAUCGUUCCGGAGCGCGGAUCGGGACGGGGACGGCUUCCUCACGCUCCCGGAGGCGGAGGAGGCUGCACGCCUCCUGUGCAGCCCCAGGUCUCCCUUCUCGCUCAUCUCGUCUCGCUGCUGGGACUGCGCGAUGAGGACCGAGGCGUCGAUCUGCCGCUCUUCAUCGCCAUGUGCGUCAUCCUGGGCCGCCGUGGCCGCGGCGGCGUCCGCUCUCAAAACCCGGAGCGGUCGCCACCCGGAGGCGACUGAACCCGGGCGGAGAGAAUGCGGCUCGAGAGGAGCAGCUCGAGGAUAAAGAGCGGCGGGCAGCUUCGGCAGGAGGGCAGCAGCAGGGAGGGCAGCAGCGGGGAAGACGGGGCCUGCCGCACGCAGGGCAGGGCUGCGACGGGGAGGAGGAUCAGGAACGACUGUUGGAGAGCGCCGACUUUCACGGGCUCCAGAGGAAGCUGUCGGGGCUGCGUGUGCGCGAGGAUCUGCGGCAACUGCUGCUCGGGCUGCAGGAGUCGGGGUCAGGGUGACCCGCGCGUUCACUCGCCUGUCGUUACCAUAGUUACCAUCGUUACCAUAGUUACCAUCGUUACGAUCAGGCACAUCGAGCGGGGAAGCCUUCGACCCUGGUUGACCGCCAUAUGCCAGUUUCUAUCCGUUGCUGGAUGAAAGUCUGCUUAUGCCAAUGCCACUGCCAGUUGUCUUGAGCUGCCCGCGAUUUGUGUGCGCGUAUUGCGGGUACAAUGGAGUGAGCAAAAACAAAAGGUGGAUCUCUGAUUUUGUGGAUAUGUUGCGUCCUGGAGUCGUCCGAUGCGAGUUGGAAGAUUUGUCGACGGGCACAAAAAUCCGACAUGAUGAUAACAUAUUUUAUUAGUUCAUAAAACAAAACGUAAAUCCAGUUAAUUUAACUGACAUUGCAUCGCAGAAUUAGGAAAUGUGUAAUAGGAUUAACUACACACAUACGAACAAAACCUUAGUGCAACUCUUUACAAUUACAGUGCCUUCGCU